rnacentral:rRNA from 1 species
AUUGAACGCUGGCGGCAGGCCUAACACAUGCAAGUCGAACGAGUGGCGGACGGGUGAGUAAUGUCUGUGCAACUGCCUGAUGGAGGGGUAUAACUACUGGAAACGGUAGCUAAUACCGCAUACCAUCAGCUGUGCCCAGGUGGGCUGUGGUUGUUGGUGGGGUAACGGCGAACCAAGGCGACGAUCCGUAGCUGGUCGGAGAGGAUGACCAGCCACACUGGAACUGAGACACGGUCCAGACUACUACGGGAGGCAGCAGUGGGGAAUAUUGGACAAUGGGGGAAAGCCUGAUGCAGCCAUGCCGCGUGUAUGAAGAAGGCCUUCGGGUUGUAAAGUACUUUCAGCGGGGAGGCGUUACCCGCAGAAGAAGCACCGGCUAACUCCGUGCCAGCAGCCGCGGUAAUAC